GAUGAACGCUAGCGGGAGGCUUAACACAUGCAAGUCGAGGGGCAGCAUAGGGUAGCAAUACUCUGAUGGCGACCGGCAAACGGGUGAGUAACGCGUAUGCAACCUACCCUGUACAGGGGGAUAACCCGGAGAAAUUCGGACUAAUAUCCCGUAAUAAUAUCCGGAGGCAUCUUUGGAUAUUUAAAGUCUCGACGGUACGGGAUGGGCAUGCGUAACAUUAGCUGGUUGGUAAGGUAACGGCUUACCAAGGCUAUGAUGUUUAGGGGUCCUGAGAGGGUGGUCCCCCACACUGGUACUGAGACACGGACCAGACUCCUACGGGAGGCAGCAGUGAGGAAUAUUGGUCAAUGGGCGCAAGCCUGAACCAGCCAUCCCGCGUGCAGGAAGACGGCCCUAUGGGUUGUAAACUGCUUUUCCAGGGAGAGAAACUUACGCACGUGUUGGCGUGACUGACGGUACCCUGGGAAUAAGCAUCGGCUAACUCCGUG
rnacentral:rRNA from 1 species